GUUUUGGUUGAAGAAAAGAACAUAAGAACUUUGCUAGAAGCUCCUCUUGAAGCGCUAAACAAGCCACGCUGGACGCAGACAGCUCUCUGUGGAUCUACACCAUAGUAUGGCAGCAGAUCUUUGAGGUUCCAGCUGGACUCUGAAUGUAAGGAAGAUCAGGUGAGCCUGAAUGUAAGGAAGGCCUUUCUGUGAAUGCAGACGACAACAGAUUUGACAUUUUUGAUGAUUUCAACCACCAUUUUAUCCCCGAUUACAUGGAACCACCAACUUGACUCAAACUGCAAACUGACUGCAGACGGAUUCCGUCUUAAUGCUGUUUUAUCUCCAUCUUGUUGCACCAAAGUUGCUGUCCACAUCUCUGAAGCAACCAUUUCCAAGGCAACUAUGGUAAAUAGUAAAUGGACUGGUCCUUUUCUACUCUACCUGAGCACUCAAAGU